GUAGGGGGCAAGCGUUAUCCGGAUUUACUGGGUGUAAAGGGAGCGUAGACGGUAUGGCAAGUCUGAAGUGAAAGCCCCGGGCUCAACCUGGGAAUUGCUUUGGAAACUGUUAAACUAGAGUGCUGGAGAGGCAGGCGGAAUUCCUAGUGUAGCGGUGAAAUGCGUAGAUAUUAGGAGGAACACCAGUGGCGAAGGCGGCCUGCUGGACAGUAACUGACGUUGAGGCUCGAAAGCGUGGGGAGCAAA
rnacentral:rRNA from 1 species